AUUUUUCAGUUUAAAAGACUAGAGAAAUCGUGAAAGUUGUGAUUAAAAGGCGAAUCUACCACCAUCUAUCAUUAAUAUGGCUGAUGAGAAGGAAGAAGUAGUAGAAUCACCUGAAAUACAUUUUGAGCCAGUAGUUAGACUACCAGAAGUUGAUGUCAAAUCCCUGGAAGAGGAUGAGGCAGAGAUUUUUAAAAUGAGAGCUAAACUCUUCCGGUUUGAUAAUGCUGCUGAGCCCCCAGAAUGGAAGGAGAGGGGCACAGGAGAUGUCAAGCUGCUUAAACAUAAAGUUACUGGUCUAAUACGAUUACUAAUGAGGCGAGACAAGACCCACAAAGUUUGUGCCAAUCAUUAUGUGACCACACAGAUGGAGCUGAAGCCUAAUGCUGGCAGUGACAGGGCUUGGGUGUGGCCUGUUCCCUCAGACUUUGCUGACGAAGAAGCCAAACAGGAACUGCUUGCAAUUCGAUUUGCAAAUUCAGAAAGUAAGCACCAAUUUAUUUUUUUUUCUCCCACCAUAAGAUGGUCAAUGGCAUAGUGUUACCCUUUUCAGUCAUUCUGUUAGCAAUAACUUUCUAUUCAUUAUCUUGGCAACAGUUGAACAUACAACUCUAAUUUGAUAAAUGAAUACAUCAUGCCUGUCAAGUUCAAACUUUGUCCAGAUCUGAUUAUCAAACUAGAAUUUCAACUAAUUAAAAAUUGGUUAAAAUAAAAAUCUCUGUAAAAAAGUUCUUGAUUUUUUGCUAAUAAAAUUUUAUCAGCAGGAAUUUUAAUGAAAUGGGAGGCAAUUCCAAACGUACAAUCAUUUUAUUAUGGCCUUAUAUAACAUCAUUAAACAUUACAGCAUGAAACUUGCUUGCAAUAUAUAAAAUAGUUGCUUUAUUUUAAACUUUAAAUCAUACUCACUAUUUUGAAUUUCUGAUCAAGCAUAUUACAUUUUGUGUCUGCAUAAUGCAUAUUGUUUCAUCUUUCAAUGUGUUUUGAAUAUGCUUGCAUUUGAUUUCAAUAUAUUUCAAAACAUUCACUGUAUUGUUUUGUUUUAUAGAUGCUCUUAAAUUCAAAGAAAAGUUUGAGGAAGCAGGCAAAGAAAAUAAGAAGUUAGCUAUCCCCAAUGGUGUGUCAGAAACAGAUGAACAGAAGUCCGAGAGAGUGGGUCAGGAGGCUGGUGAUACAAAUAAAACCGACGACGACAAAGAGACGAGCACUCUGACAGAUAAACUGGAAGAUUUAACUGUUAAAGGAGCAAAGAGCUCAGAUAGUGAUGCCUCGAAAGAGGAAGGCGAUUCUAAAGAUAAACCCAGUGACUCAAAUGAAACAAAGGCAGCAUAGAGUUCAGAGUUGAGAUUCGUUGUGAUCAUGCAAGUGUAUUAACAGGGUAGCAAGAACUCUAGACUUUUGUCAAGAGAUAUGCUCUGAAUUAGGUUUUGUCGCUUCUCAAAUUUAAAGAGCCUACUAGAGAAGGUUGAAAAGGACAAACCGUGAGAGUAUUUUAUAAGUACACACGUUAUACAAAUUUCCAUUUUGCAAGAUCUGUUCUUAAAAGAGCAUAAUUUUUUAUGCAGGAAACUUAAUGUGGUUCACUGUACAUGUAAAACUAUGAAAAGUUGUCUUUUAAAAUUGAUUGGCUACUUUUUUUUCUGCACAGGAACCCCUGCUUCUUUAUUGUCCAUUUGUUGUUGGGAGUUAGGGUCAUGACAUUUUGAGUUCAGAGUGUAUGGAUUGUAAGAAAAGUCAUGGACACCAGUGAAUGGAUAGAAAGUGAUUAAUCUCCAAGCAUUUUAUUGAAGAAAAUUAUAACUCAGAAAAAGAUGUUUUCUUGUUGUUCUUUUUAUUAUGAAAAAUAUUGUAUUAGGUACUUCAUGUAUUAUUAUGAAUGUUUCCAGUAUAAUAUAUAAUUGAUAAGAUAUUUAGAAGAUUUAUUUUAGAACUCUUAAAUUUGUAAGGAAUGGGUUGUUAUUUAAUGUUAUGUAUGGACAGUAUUAUUUAGUUUUGUUUUCAGUCAGCUUGAUCUAAAUAUUUUUUUUAAAAACAACCCUAAAAACUACAGCAGCAUCCAGUUUUGGCCUGUUUCAACACAGGAUGAGAAUAUGACAGCUAUUGUAGUAUCAACUUGUUUUGUAAAUUGUUGUUAUAACGAACAGUAACUGCAUCAACAACUGUUUGUGAUGAAAUAAAUUAUCAAAUAAUGUG
rnacentral:misc_RNA from 1 species